rnacentral:rRNA from 1 species
ACGUAGGGACCAAGCGUUGUUCGGAUUUACUGGGCGUAAAGGGCGCGUAGGCGGCGUGGUAAGUCAGUUGUGAAAUCUCCGAGCUUAACUCGGAACGGCCAACUGAUACUGCUGUGCUAGAGUGCAGAAGGGGCAAUCAGAAUUCUUGGUGUAGCGGUGAAAUGCGUAGAUAUCAAGAGGAAUACCUGAGGUGAAGACGGGUUGCUAGGCUGACACUGACGCUGAGGCGCGAAAGCCAGGGGAGCAAACGGGA